GGGUUGUGAGGUUAAGCGACUAAGCGUACACGGUGGAUGCCCUGGCAGUCAGAGGCGAUGAAGGGCGUGCUAAUCUGCGAUAAGCGCCGGUAAGGUGAUAUGAACCGUUAUAACCGGCGAUACCCGAAUGGGGAAACCCAGUGUGACUCGUCACACUAUCAUUAACUGAAUCCAUAGGUUAAUGAGGCGAACCGGGGGAACUGAAACAUCUAAGUACCCCGAGGAAAAGAAAUCAACCGAGAUUCCCCCAGUAGCGGCGAGCGAACGGGGAGGAGCCCAGAGCCUGAAUCAGCAUGUGUGUUAGUGGAAGCGUCUGGAAAGGCGCGCGAUACAGGGUGACAGCCCCGUACACAAAAGCGCAUGUGCUGUGAGCUCGAUGAGUAGGGCGGGACACGUGGUAUCCUGUCUGAAUAUGGGGGGACCAUCCUCCAAGGCUAAAUACUCCUGACUGACCGAUAGUGAACCAGUACCGUGAGGGAAAGGCGAAAAGAACCCCGGCGAGGGGAGUGAAAAAGAACCUGAAACCGUGUACGUACAAGCAGUGGGAGCCCCACCACCAAAGCAUUUGCUGUACCGCGUUGACGGAGCGAAGCGACGUCAAACCGAUAAAACAGCAGUG
rnacentral:rRNA from 1 species